CUACGGGGCGCAGCAGUGGGGAAUAUUGCACAAUGGAGGAAACUCUGAUGCAGCAACGCCGCGUGGAGGAUGACACUUUUCGGAGCGUAAACUCCUUUUAUAUAGGAAGAAGAUGACGGUACUAUAUGAAUAAGCGCCGGCUAACUCCGUGCCAGCAGCCGCGGUAAUACGGAGGGCGCAAGCGUUACUCGGAAUCACUGGGCGUAAAGAGCGUGUAGGCGGAUUAAAAAGUCAGAAGUGAAAUCCUAUAGCUUAACUAUAGAACUGCUUCUGAAACUCUUAAUCUAGAAUAUGGGAGAGGUAGAUGGAAUUUCUGGUGUAGGGGUAAAAUCCGUAGAGAUCAGAAGGAAUACCGAUUGCGAAGGCGAUCUACUAGAACAUUAUUGACGCUGAGACGCGAAAGCGUGGGGAGCAAACAGGAUUAGAUUACCCGAGUAGUC
rnacentral:rRNA from 1 species